rnacentral:rRNA from 1 species
CCUACGGGAGGCAGCAGUAGGGAAUAUUGCUCAAUGGGGGAAACCCUGAAGCAGCAACGCCGCGUGGAGGAUGAAGGUUUUCGGAUUGUAAACUCCUUUUGGUAGAGAAGAUAAUGACGGUAUCUAACGAAUAAGCACCGGCUAACUCCGUGCCAGCAGCCGCGGUAAUACGGAGGGUGCAAGCGUUACACGGAAUCACUGGGCGUAAAGAGAGCGUAGGCGGGAUAGCAAGUCAGAUGUGAAAUCCUAUGGCUUAACCAUAGAACUGCAUUUGAAACUGUUAUUCUAGAGUAUGGGAGAGGUAGGUGGAAUUCUUGGUGUAGGGGUAAAAUCCGUAGAGAUCAAGAGGAAUACUCAUUGCGAAGGCGACCUGCUAGAACAUAACUGACGUUGAUGCGCGAAAGCGUGGGGAGCAAACAGGAUUAGAUACCCUUGUAGUC